rnacentral:miRNA from 1 species
GGGGUAGGGAUUUUAGGCCCCAAUUAGAAGAUAACUAUACAACUUACUACUUUCCCUGGUGUGUAGCACAUUCA